rnacentral:rRNA from 1 species
AUUGAACGCUGGCGGCAUGCUUUACACAUGCAAGUCGAACGGCAGCGCGGGACUUCGGUCUGGCGGCGAGUGGCGAACGGGUGAGUAAUAUAUCGGAACGUACCCAAGAGUGGGGGAUAACGGUAGCGAAAGUUACGCUAAUACCGCAUACGAUCUAAGGAUGAAAGCGAGGGGAUCGCAAGACCUUGUGCUCCGUGGAG